GUGGAGUCAUGGCCUUUUUAACACUGCAUGAAAUGCUGCCAUUGGCAUUUGAUUAUGCGGGACAGAAGCAAUCUGUUAAGGCCGUGUUUUGUGGGAUGGCUUUCAUGUCCGCAAGCCUAUAUUUUCUAAGCAUCAGUUUACCAGAGGAUAUGAACUUGUAGCUGGGAACAUGUGUCUUCCAAAUGAGACGCAUUCUCCCCGUGUGUGAUUGAGGUGUCCGUGUUGACAUAAACUGCAUAGUAGCAUUAUCCCAUCUGAUUUGAGACGCCUGGGCUGUCAAUAAGAAAGGCAAGAAUGUACAGUCAUUUGCGGAGGAUAUCAGACAAUCAAUAUGGAGAUGCAUCUCCGACUUCAUGAUUUACCUUGAAGAAAGAUGUACAGAGAAUUUGAAAAAUACCAUCAAUAAUAUUGUAAGCCGUCUGUAGUAUUUUAUUAAACCUCCUAUUCUGCGUAAGAUGUCUUUAAUGUAACUGCAUAAGAAUGCCAUUACCUGUUUAGCCAUCAACUUUCUUAAACUGCGCUGUUAAUGAACAUUUGAAGGAUAAUGGCAUAAUUGUUAAUCCAUAAGAUUUCUUGCCUCCA